GGCCUCAUAGUCAAGCGGUCAAGACGCCGCCCUCUCACGGCGGAAACUGGGGUUCGAUUCCCCAUGGGGCUGCCA
rnacentral:tRNA from 1 species